rnacentral:rRNA from 1 species
GACGUAGGGCGCAAGCGUUGUCCGGAAUUAUUGGGCGUAAAGAGCUCGUAGGCGGCUUGUCGCGUCGACUGUGAAAACCCGUGGCUCAACCAUGUGGUCUGCAGUCGAUACGGGCAGGCUAGAAUUCGGUAGGGGAGACUGGAAUUCCUGGUGUAGCGGUGAAAUGCGCAGAUAUCAGGAGGAACACCGAUGGCGAAGGCAGGUCUCUGGGCCGAUAUUGACGCUGAGGAGCGAAAGCGUGGGGAGCGAACAGG